AGGGUUGAAAUUGUCAGAUGAAGUGACAGACAGAAUAGUGCAGACAGAUCGACAGAGACUGAAAAUCACGUUAUGAUAAAGGUUGACAAGGGAACAGGACAGAGAGAGUACAGUUACUCCUCUAAACCAAACUGAAAAUAUCGCCAGUACCAACUACUGCAGACCAUACACUUCUGAUCCAUGUUUGCAAAAUUCCAAGCGUCAAUACGGAUAACAAACGAAGGCAUUCUAACAUCCUGCGAUCCUUUGCUUGAAGCUUUGCAAUUACAGUUUUGAUUCAAUAUAUUACUAUAUUACUAUAUAUUAUAUAUUACUAUAACUAUAUUAUGUACUGAUUAUUUUCGAGGCUUAUCAAGAAAAGACCUAGUAUUAAAAACAGGAAACUAUUUGAAAA